rnacentral:rRNA from 1 species
AUCGAACGCUGGCGGCAGGCUUAACACAUGCAAGUCGAGCGGAGUGGCGGACGGGUGAGUAAUGCCUAGGAAUCUGCCUGGUAGUGGGGGAUAACGUCCGGAAACGGGCGCUAAUAUCGCAUACUAUCAGAUGAGCCUAGGGCGGAGUAGCUAGUUGGUGGGGUAAAGGCCUACCAAGGCGACGAUCCGUAACUGGUCUGAGAGGAUGAUCAGUGACACUGGAACUGGGACACGGUCCAGACUCCUACGGGAGGCAGCAGUGGGGAAUAUUGGACAAUGGGCGAAAGCCUGAUUCAGCCAUGCCGCGUGUGUGAAGAAGGUCUUCGGAUUGUAAAGCACUUUAAGUUGGGAGGCGUUACCAACAGAAUAAGCACCGGCUAACUUCGUGCCAGCAGCCGCGGUAAUAC